UUUUUUUUUUUUUUUUAACUAGAAUUAGAUAAAACUCUAGAAUUAGAAUUAGAUACAAAUUACUAGAGUUAGAUAGAAAAAUCACCAAAAAUAUCCUGCUCCUAUAUCCUGGCCAUGAUACUAAGUGAUCCCAUUGUGCAUAUUGGAAAACAAACAUUAAAAGAGAAAAAUUUGGUUAUCUGUUAAAGUUAAAACUCUUUUUCCAAAUCAAACUACAUAUUAAAGGGACCAAGGAAGCUCACUAUUUGUAAUUAUGGUAAAAUAUUUUUGGCAGAGGGUUUGGUUUCAUAAUACAAGUACUUUUGUUUGCUAGUCAUCACACAGUCUGGCAAUUAGAAAAUUGGCUUGUGUCCAUGAGCUGCCUUUAUCAUCCCUAUAUCAAAAUCUAUGUUAAAGAAAUAGUUUUUGCAUACCAUUGACUAGUUAAAAAACUAAACAAACAAAAAACCCAGCAAUUUUGGUUAGUUCUCUAGCAUUUAGAUGCUAUGCUACAAAGAACAGUAUCAUCAAGGAUAUUAGAGUAAUGUAUUUUAGUAGGAGGUGAUAAGUUUUUAUUUUACUGAACUGUGAAAAUAGCAAACACAAUUGGGAUCAAGGAACUAUUCGCUUCGAAGGGCUUCCACAAAACCCUAGUGUUAAUAUUACAUAAUAUCAUUAUAUAGCAAUACAUGUUAAUAUUACAUAUAUCAUUAUUGUUCUAGAACUCAACCUUUCAGACAGGUAGGUAUUUUGUUUGAACCCCACAAAUGCUUUGAAGACAUCUAUUGUACAGUGCUAAGAACCUACGUUCUGAUAUCAGACAGCUCUAGGUUUGCAGUCUGCCACCUACUAGGCGUGUGACAUCCUGCAAGUCACACACCACUAGGACCAAAGUGCUAGUAAUGACAACAAUGAGACUAUCUCAUGUGUACUGAGUGGUUACUAUAUGUAGGCAGAGUUUUAUACUCAGUGCUUUAUAAUGUCUUUUUGUUUUAAGAUUUUAUUUAUUUAUUCAUGAGAGACACACAGAGGCAGAGACAUAGGCAGAGGGAGAAGCAGACUCCUCACAGGGAGUCCAGUGUGGAACUUGAUCCCAGAACCACAGAAUCACGACCUGAGACAAAGGCAGACACUUAACCACUGAGCCACCCAGGUGGCCCUGUAUAGUAUCUUAUAUUUAUUAUCUCAUUGGAUCCUCAUGUAAACCUUGUGAGGGGAGGUAAUAUCAUCAUUAUUUUAUGAAUGAGUAAAAGGAAGAACGUAAUUCUUCAAGUACACACAGCACAGGACCUGGGGCAAGAACCUGGUUAUUCUGUCUCCACGUUCCAAGGUUUAGCCACAUUCACCUGCCUCCCCAAGCCUCAGUUUCCCUGUCUGUAAGAUCAGAACAAUAAUAACUCCUGUAGUGUUGGCAGGAGGCUCUGAGAUCGUGGAAUAAGGCACAGGGUGGUGACUGCCUCUGAAGCUGGCACUUCAUUAUCACUGCCAGUAUUGUUGCUGUUAGCAAGGAUUGUAGUAUCAAUCAAUUUCUAACAGGAAGGAUUCACACAUCCACUCUUCUUUGCACACAUUUCUGUCUAAGUGAGCAGAGAAAAGCUCUACUCACUUAGAAAAAGCUUGUAGAAUUACUACAGUUUCAUCAGAGCCAAUGAACAGGGUCACUAAGGAGUCAAGCACCUGAUUUGUGACCAUUUGGAUGCCUGCCUAGAGGUAUAAACUCUCUAGUAACAUUCUCCUUUUGGUAAGCUAGCUUUCUCCUUCAUGAAUCUGGGCCAAAAAUCCACUGUGUCUUUAGCUUCUUCCCACAAAGAGGAGAUUUUCCUGCUAGCAGCAAUAGCUGCUAUUGUGGGAUUUUGCCCAGGAGAUUUUGUGAAGUUAUCUGACCCAAUAGCAUUAUAUAAAUUUUUAAGACUUGUAAAAUCAGGAAUCUCAGUGCAAGGCAGCCACAUCCAAAGCAAAAAUCUGUUCAACAGUCCCCACUUUAAUGGCUCUCCUGUAAACACUGACAACUACCAGAGAACAGCAUUACAAAAAGAUCAGUCACUACUUAAUUGUGUGAGUAAAGGCUGGGACAUGUGAACAUUAAUGAUACACAUUUUUGCUAUGGAGAUACUUUGAGGCCAGACACACAGAAUGCAACAGCUGCCAUCCAAAACCUCCCUGCACCAAGAGAUAUUUGUCUGGAAACUCUUGGCCUGGCCUGACAGCUUCUAGUCCUAGAGGACCAUGCUGAUUGCCACCCAAAUGUUUUCUCACCCCACAACACAUGGGGAGUCAGAGGAUGCACAGUCCGUAUUUGGGGCUCCUUUUGCUCUUGCCCCACAGCCAGGAUGGCUCAAAACCAUAGGUCAUAUGAAUGGUACUUGGCUAGUAUGUCACACAAUUAUUUAAAUACUACCAGGCUAAACUUCCCAUUUCUUUUUUUUUUUUUUAAGAUUUUAUUUAUUUAUUCAUGACAGAGAGAGAGAGAGAGAGGCAGAGACACAGGCAGAGGGAGAAGCAGGCUUCAUGUAGGAAGCCUGAUGUGGGACGCAAUCCUGGGUCUCCAGGAUCACACCACAGCCUGAAGGCAGCGCUAAACCCCUAAACUGCUGAGCCACUGGGGCUGCCCUAAACAUCCAUUUCUAAAGCAAUAUUUCUCAACAUGUGGAUCUAGGUCAGAAUGAUCCAGGGUGCUUAUUAGAAAUCCAGACUCCUAUGCAUGCCUCUCUAUUUUACUAUGUUACUGUUAGUAUGUAAGUCCUGAAGAAUAGAAGCUGGUCUGUUUACUCUGGUACCCCAGUACCCCCAACAGUGUGUGGCACACAGUAAGCACUCAAUACAUAUUUGUGGAAGGAAUUAAUUCCCGGGCCCCAUUAAUCUACCUCCUCAAUCAAAAUCUCUAAGAGUAGGACCAAGGAAUCUGCAUUUUAAAGGCACACAAGUGAUUUUUUUUGCACACAAAAUUUUUAGAACCAUUGUUCUAAAGUAAUUCAGCUAAUUCUAAGAUAGACAGAAAGAUGAAAAGUUUUGUCUCCAGAGGCGGCAUAUUAGCCAUCUGGCCAGUCAUUAAGGUAAAAUAACCAUAUUAAUAUCACCCAUGAGUUGAACUUCUGCCUUCAGGUCACAUUAUCUCCAACAAAUGUUGAUCUACCACCUUCAGCACACCAGAUUCUGGGUUCCUAAGUGGAUAAAAACAGAUACGUAGGCAGAGUGCCUAGGAAAGGCUGGAACCUGCCCCGUGAAGAACCACACCAUCGCUUUCUGCCUGAACUUGAUUAUUUGAUGAACCUGCCCCAAAACUCCGAUAGAGAAAUGGAACAGACUGUUCAUUACUGGUUCCCUGGCAUGCUUGAAUGGCACCUCUGAUCCAGGAAAGUCAGAUAUUAUCUGCAAGGAUUUAUCUUAUCUUGAAAGUCUCCAAUCUUUCUAAAUAGGUUUCCUAUCUGUUUGGCCCUUCUAGGAAGCUUGGUGUUUUACUUCUAGUUACAAUCAACCUUUUACCAACAUUUGAUCUUGGACUGUCACUUCACUUCUCUUGGCCUGCUUCCUCAUUUGAAAAAUGAGACAAUUAGACCAGAAACAGGUCUUCAGCACCUUCCAAUUAUAAUGUACCCUAAUCUGUGACUUCUUGGUGACACCUACUGCUCAUGCUUAACAAAACAUCCAGAUGUGAUUUGAUGAUCCAAUUGCAGCUGUCAAACUAGGAUACCCAAAACUAUCCAAUGGAGAGGUGGUUGGCACGUGGAAGAGUAGGUAAAAUUUGGGAUUUGCAAACCGUUUCUGAGAAUUACCUCUCAGUUUCCAUGUUUACCUAGAAAAAUACAAUGGCAACUUUAAUGUGCUGAAAACUUUAUGUAAGAGAUUAGUGCAAUACCCAAAUUUCUUCUGAAAGCUGUACAUUUUAUUUGUAUCAGCGCUGCAGCAACGCUGAAGCAUAGCUUGAUCUAGAGAGACGGAAAGAUCACUGCUUCGUGGGAUGCCCUCAAGCCAAGCUGUGAAGUAGGGGGAGAGAUAUAGGGAGUGAGCUCCUUUCCCUGACCCCAUCACUUUGCCUUUCCAUUCCCUCUGUCCUUCUUUCAGAAGCCCCAUCCCACAGAUGUUCCCCAGAGGUGGGUUGCUCUGAACUGGAAUCACACCCUAAGCACCAAAUGUAUGUUCACUGUCCUUUGUUCCAAUCCAGCCUGACUAAUCACUGGUAACUUGUCCAUUACUGUUGCCAGAUAAUUGCAUUUUAACUGCCUUUCUUUAGAAAACAGCUUCACAUAAAUUAGUGGUUCUUAAAGGCUUUGGGGCCUAAUGUCUACUUUAUAUUCCAACUAUUUUGCAGUGCUUCCUCUAUGAGCCUGAAAUGAAAAUCACAGAAAAUAUAACUUACUACUUACUAUAUAAUGCCCAAAUUAUUUUUAUAAAGUGAGUGUUAGGAAAGUAACUUAUAAUAAAAUACCAUAUUUCAGUAUGCAAAGCUUAGAAGAUGUACUGAAGUAGCCCAAUGCUCCCUCUAUGCCUAAAAUCACAGGGACAGCCAGGAAUGGAUUAUUGAACUAGCAACACACACUAAACCCCCUCCUUCAAGCAGCCCCCCCCCCACUGCUCCCUAAAUGCCAGUAGUGUCUCCCAGCCAUUUACUGUGACAACCUCCUACCCAUAAUUUAUUUUUCAAAAUUGCCCUUUAAAAACCUAGAUCGAUGACCCUGAUGUGAAAAGUUAAGUCAGUUUUGCAACCUCGAGAGAGCUAUUUUGGUGUGAAGAAUAUUUUACUGCCUCUGGCAGCAUGCAGCUACUUUGUCCUUUCCCCAUUUUUCCUCCAAUGUCUUGGAAGAUGAAUGUCAUAAUACAUAACAAUCUCAACAAUGAAAGUUAACAUUUAUGGAAUGCUUCCCACAUGCCAAGUGCUUUUAAAAUAAUUUUGCAUGUAUUAACUCUUUCAAACCUCAUAACUACAUAAGUAAUUUUAUUAUUACUAUGUUCCAGGGACAGUAAUAAUAGGCACAGAAAAAUCAAGUAACUUGACUAAGAUUACGCAUCUAGUUACAUUUAGCUUCUUGUAGAAACCAACUGCUUUGAUUAUUAUAAUAAUGGGCUUUUAUAAUGAGCAAAGCACUAUCUGUGUUUUUAUUUUAGGAAAGAAACAUUUCAGGGAUAAAAGGAUGUUUCUUUUUCCAAAGCCCAUGCAUCUAAAUGUUUGAAAUUUGCGCCCAUGUUUUCUUGGCUGGCUUUAUGCUUUUAGCACUUAGAAUGUGAUUAGGUAGCUUUUUUACUUAAUAUUUUCAUUCAUUUCAGAAUGGAUUUCUCUUCUUGGCAUGUCAUCUGUAUGUGAAAUUGCAGCGCCAUUCAUUCGGAGAUGAGGAACACAAAUCUUUUUCCUGCUCUUUCCUUUCAUUGCCAAGUGGCUUGUGCCAAAACAGGCUUGUUUUAAGCGAGUUUAGAGGAUGACCCAAGAAGCAGGUUCUGUGCACCAUGGUGGGAUAUGUGGCUGUUCUAACAGCACAGUGUGGUCAGGAGUCUCCUAAAUGUGUCAGAAAUUACAUCAUGCAUCAUUCAGGGAGGAACUGCAUUUCUUCCUGGAAACAGCCAAGGAGUUGUUAUGACAAAU
rnacentral:lncRNA from 1 species